rnacentral:rRNA from 1 species
GUAGGUGAACCUGCGGAAGGAUCAUUAUCGAGCGAAUCCAAAACGAACGAAAAAGUCUCCCAACGUGCAUACCUUCCAUUUGCAUGUUGUUGUGAGCCACAUGGAAACUCGUACACACGUGGUGGCAGCCGUCUGCUGUGCUUUUUUUAGGCAGACAAUGGCUUACGAGUGGCCGUGUGCUUGUUGAACAACGGUGACCAAUUUGGCGUCUACGCCGUAUCUAGCUUCUGCCUGGACCGUCAGUUGCGAUGAAAGAUGCGGAGAAAGUUCCUUUGUUUUGGCUGCUAAUCAUCAUUGAUGAGCAGCAGCUUAAGGCAGAGUCGAGCAGACUUAAUGAGCCACGCUAGGUGGCCGCCAAAACCCAAAACACAACCGGUCUAUUUGACAUUGUUAUUUCAUUGUAUGUGUUGAAAAUGUACAAAUCUUGGCGGUGGAUCACUCGGUUCGUGGAUCGAUGAAGAACGCAGCCAGCUGCGAUAAAUAGUGCGAAUUGCAGACACAUUGAGCACUAAGAAUUCGAACGCACAUUGCGCUAUCGGGUUCAUUCCCGAUGGCACGUCUGGCUGAGGGUCGAAUUACGGUGAACUGUCUUCACGGUUUUUCUGGACUGUGAAGCAUUCGGCAAGCAAUUGCUGUUGUGUUGUUGGUGAUUCUAUCAUGGACAAUAUGACGAGCGGUUCCUUGCUUAGUGAUGACAAAAGAAGACGUCAACACCGAAUCUACUAUACUACUAAUACUAGUAUAUAGGUGAGGUGCUUUUGGUGGUCACAAAAGCGACAAGUAUGCCAUUUCAUAGGGGCAACAACCAGCAUACGUGAUAAGUUGGCUGGUUGAUGAAACGGCAACGGAAUGACGGACGUCUAUGUGAUCAAAAAUGAUACUAUUUGACCUCAGCUCAGUCGUGAUUACCCGCUGAAUUUAAGCAUAUAAUUAAGCGGAGGAAAAGAAACUAAC